rnacentral:snRNA from 1 species
GUGCUUGCUUCGGCAGCACAUAUACUAAAAUUGGAACAACACAGAGAAGAUUAGCAUGGCCCCUGCACAAGGAUGACACACAAAUUCAUGAAGCAUUCCAUAUUUUU